GAUGAACGCUGGCGGCGUGCCUAACACAUGCAAGUCGAGCGAAGUUUAGAGGAAGUGCUUGCACGGAAUCGAAGACUUAGCGGCGGACGGGUGAGUAACGCGUGAGCAACCUACCUUUCACAGGGGAAUAACAACGGGAAACCGUUGCUAAUACCGCAUGAUAUUAAGAGAAGACAUCUUCUUUUAGUCAAAGGAGCAAUCCGGUGAAAGAUGGGCUCGCGUCCGAUUAGCUAGUUGGUAAGGUAAAGGCUUACCAAGGCAACGAUCGGUAGCCGAACUGAGAGGUUGACCGGCCACAUUGGGACUGAGACACGGCCCAGACUCCUACGGGAGGCAGCAGUGGGGAAUAUUGGGCAAUGGGCGAAAGCCUGACCCAGCAACGCCGCGUGAAGGAUGAAGGCCUUAGGGUUGUAAACUUCUUUGAUCAGGGAAGAAAAAAAUGACGGUACCUGAAGAACAAGCCACGGCUAACUACGUGCCAGCAGCCGCGGUAAUACGUAGGUGGCAAGCGUUAUCCAGAUUUACUGGGUGUAAAGGGCGUGCAGGCGGGUUUGUAAGUCAGAUGUGAAAUCUCCAGGCUUAACUUGGAAACUGCAUCUGAAACUACAAAUCUUGAGUACUGGAGAGGAUAGUGGAAUUCCUAGUGUAGCGGUAAAAUGCGUAGAUAUUAGGAGGAACACCAGUGGCGAAGGCGGCUAUCUGGACAGUAACUGACGCUGAGGCGCGAAAGCGUGGGUAGCAAACAGG
rnacentral:rRNA from 1 species